rnacentral:rRNA from 1 species
UACGUAGGGUGCGAGCGUUGUCCGGAAUUAUUGGGCGUAAAGGGCUCGUAGGCGGUUUGUCGCGUCGGGAGUGAAAAUCCAGGGCUUAACUCUGGACUGGCUUCCGAUACGGGCAGACUAGAGGUAUGCAGGGGAGAAUGGAAUUCCCGGUGUAGCGGUGAAAUGCGCAGAUAUCGGGAGGAACACCGGUGGCGAAGGCGGUUCUCUGGGCCUUAC